rnacentral:lncRNA from 1 species
GCAUGAAUAUGGAAAAUUCAGCUCCAGCUCCUCCACCCCACUCCCUGAACAGCACUGCAGAACUGUGCUAAGCUCCUGUGGCUUGGAAAGAACAGAUGCAAGAGACAUAGAUAAAUGCCUCCAAAUAACUUAGUCCUCAACCUGAAGCCAAAGUGAUUUCGGUGUACCAGGAUUGAAAUACUUCUGUAUUCACAACUGAAUGGAUAAACGGGCACUCCUUGUGGCUCCUCAUUGUAUGUCCCCUAGAGGGUCAGCAAGGCCAAGAAUUGGUUUGUGGAACAAAUAUCCAUUACUCCAAUCGGGGAUGAAAAAGAGUACACGCCAUGGAUUUUGCUCUCGGGAGUGAUUGAUUCAGCGAGUGAAAUAAGACCAACAUGCAUGGAAGGGUUGAUGAUGCUAGAAUCUCCCACACUUUGCCAGCCACAGGGAAGUCAAAUCAGUAUUGACUUUGUUAUUCAAAUCAGCACCAGACCGGUCACUUUUAGAAGUGAUACCAUGGGAGGCAAUUAAACCCAGGAAAAUGCUGAGCACUAGAGUGACCAUGCAAGAAGGGGCCUUAGAGAUAGAUCCUGUACGUCUUCACCUGUUGGUGCCAGGGCCAGAACAGAGGCCUGCAAGGGUAAGAGCAAGCUCAGCACCACAGAACUUGUAGGUAACAGAGCCGGGCUCAAGUGCACGCUUCCUGACUGCAAUUUCAACACUCCCAUUCAAGGUGAGAGUGAAAAAUAUUUUCCCCUAGGCUUUCCCCAGUGAUAUUCCCCUAUGCACCAGCAGAGCAUGAGGGUAUGAGACGAAGAUGCACAUCCUAGCCCUAGCUUUGCUACUGACUAGCCACGUGUGUUUGAGCAACUCACAAAACUUCUCCAGAUUUCAGACUCCUCAUUUGUAAAAUAAAGUCAUUUGAUUUGUCCAUUGCUCUCCAUAGUUCACCAAAGUGCCCCUCGUAGGAGAGUGGAAUGGAUGAUGUUUAGAGUAGAAGCUUGGAGAUGUGGCAAUAAGUGACCUUGUGCAAGUGAGAAAUGCACUCAAUAUAUUGGAAUUUGUCUGUCUUAAUAAUUUGUGUGGCUUCUACAUUUUACUUAGUAAUAUAUCUGUGUUUGCUUUCGGGUGAAAAUACUGUUUGAAAUGUCUUACUAUCCAUGAAACUUGGUUUACCAAAGAGGGCCUGUUUUCCCUGAGGUACAAGGACUAGAAGGUUUUCUGAGGCCACCCCCAGCCCCCAUUCAUUGAUUUCGUGUCUUAAGUUGUUUGUGUUUUUUAUUUUAUCACACCCUCCUAUUUCUGGUUCCCAGAAUGUAAGUAGUUCUCCCUCCACAAUGUUCAACAGUCCUCAAUAAUGCCCGGCUAUGUGAAGAUGGAAAGAUGAGGGAAAAUUAGCACCAUAAGCAGAGUCUGGAAAGGUACACAGACAUUUAACAGAUGGAAACAGGAGGGCUGCCAUUCUAGAAAGAUAUGAGGACUGCUCAUCAGCCUGGCUUCCGCUAGAGGAGAUCUACUUUGGUGUCUAGCCAAAUUUUGAUCCUUUGCCUUAAAUCUUUUCUGGAAAGAGAUGGGCUAUGAAUAAAUAUUUGGAUUUAGGAGGAAUUAGUUUAGUUUAAACAUCUCUGAAAAAUACCACAUUAUCUCUUCUUCAGAUGCAAAUCUUUUGAGUACCUAAGAGUGGAUUUUCCUCUCUCUGGAGUCAACCCCAAAACCAAGCCUAACUUUGCCUUGGUUCUCUGAUUGUGGCUCCCAUCACCUCUGGAAAUGUGGGGUGACUGGGAAUGGAAAGCGUAAAGCCGGGGGAUGCAAAGAAAGAUGGUUCUCACCCAGUCUCUGGGCAUUUAUCAGUAGAGAGGGAGGUCAGCCAAGUUCCUCAUCUGCUACAGCAGCAAAGGCGAUCUCCCCAGUGACUUUUCCAGAUGGAAAAGUGCUCUGAGCUUCUGACCAUCUCCCAGAGGAUAAAGGGAAUUUGAUGAGGAGAGACUUUUGCUCUUCGAGGCAAUUGUGCCUGCAUGCAUCAAGC